AGCUCGGUAGCUCAAUUGGCUAGAGCGUCCGUCUCCAAAGCGGAUGGUUGCAGGUUCGAGUCCUGUCCGGGUUGC
rnacentral:tRNA from 1 species